rnacentral:rRNA from 1 species
UACGUAGGUGGCAAGCGUUGUCCGGAGUUAUUGGGCGUAAAGCGCGCGCAGGCGGUGCGGUAAGUCUCUGGUGAAAGCGCUCGGCUUAACUGGGCGAGGGCCGGGGAGACUGCCACGCUGGAGGGGGGCAGAGGCGAGUGGAAUUCCGGGUGUAGUGGUGAAAUGCGUAGAGAUCCGGAGGAACACCAGUGGCGAAGGCGGCUCGCUGGGCUCUACCUGACGCUGAGGCGCGAAAGCGUGGGGAGCGAACCGG